rnacentral:rRNA from 1 species
GAUGAACGCUGGCGGCGUGCCUAAUACAUGCAAGUAGAACGCUAAAGGCGGAGCUUGCUCUUCUGGAUGAGUUGCGCACGGGUGAGUAACGCGUAGGUAACCUGCCUGGUAGCGGGGGAUAACUAUUGGAAACGAUAGCUAAUACCGCAUGACAACAGUUAUUGCAUGAUAACUGUUUAAAAGGUGCAACUGCUCCACUACCAGAUGGACCUGCGUUGGAUUUGCUAGUUGUUGAGGUAACGGCUCACCAAAGCGACGAUACCGAGCCGUCCUGGGAGGGGGAUGAGCCACCCUGGGACUGGGACAGGGGCCAGACCCAUACGGGAGGGAGCAGUAGGGGAGCGGAGGCAAUGGAAGUGAGUGUGACCCAGCAACGCCGAGGGAGGGUGCAGGGUUUCCGGAUCGUGAAGCGUAGUUGUCAGAGAAGAGCGGGUGUGGUGGUGGAAAGGUCACUCAGUGAAGGUACCUUAUCAGAAAGGGACGGCUAACUACGUG